rnacentral:rRNA from 1 species
GCCAGACUCCUACGGGAGGCAGCAGUGAGGAAUAUUGGUCAAUGGUCGGGAGACUGAACCAGCCAAGCCGCGUGAGGGAUGAAGGUACAGAGUAUCGUAAACCUCUUUUGUCAGGGAACAAAGGCGGGGACGUGUCCCCGGAUGAGUGUACCUGAAGAAAAAGCAUCGGCUAACUCCGUGCCAGCAGCCGCGGUAAUACGGAGGAUGCGAGCGUUAUCCGGAUUUAUUGGGUUUAAAGGGUGCGCAGGCGGAAUGUCAAGUCAGCGGUAAAAUUUCGGGGCUCAACCCCGUCGUGCCGUUGAAACUGGCAGUCUCGAGUUGGAGAGAAGUAUGCGGAAUGCGCGGUGUAGCGGUGAAAUGCAUAGAUAUCACGCAGAACUCCGAUUGCGAAGGCAGCAUACCGGCGCCCAACUGACGCUGAAGCACGAAAGCGUGGGUAUCGAACAGGAUUAGAUACCCUAGUA